rnacentral:misc_RNA from 1 species
CGCACAUUGCGCCCCUUGGUAUUCCGAGGGGCAUGCCUAUUCGAGCGUCAUUAUCACCCCUCAAGCUUUAGCUUGGUGUUGAGGCCUGCUGUCAAGGCAGCCUCUAAAACCAGUGGCAGUGCUGUCAGGCUCUAAGCGUAGUAAAAUUCAUCGCUAUAGACGUCUGGUGGACACUCGCCAGAACCCCUAAUUUUUUAAUGAUUGACCUCGGAUUAGGUAGGGAUACCCGCUGAACUUAA